UACAGAUUAGCCUGGCAAACUGAACAUUUUUAGGAAGGGCUGUUAUGUCACUGUGUUGCCAAAAUUAGAGAAACUAUGUAGGAAGCAAUUAGCUACUGUAGCUUCUCCCUACUUAAAAUGAUUAUUCAGGGCUAUAUUGUAAUAUGCAGUUGGUCAUACCAAUUCAGUAUGUAACUGUUGGCAUUAAAAACACCAUUUAUUCAAUCUCAACUUCAAAAAAUCAAAUUGAGUGGAGAGAAAUAACAGUUCUUUUCUUGACCCAUUCUCCAUUUAUACUCCCAUUUGAUGCUCAACACGCAGCUUUGUUGCACAUAUUGUAUGAGUGUCCUCCAUAAUUAAAGCUUUAUUUGAACCUCCCCCCUCCUUCCCACAUCACUCUUGGUUAGAUCAAAACAGUAGAGACAAAAACUGGAACAUGCCUGGGGUGCAGAAGGAGAGAAGAGAGACUAUUUAACGAAGCAGGCUAAUGGUGGUGAGAAGGAAGGGGGUUGAUUUUCACAUGUCAGAACUGUUGAGCCUACAAAUAUUACUGAAAUCACAUCUGGGAACAAUGCUCCGCUUUAAGUUCACCCAUGAAUGUUGCUAAGCAAUGGAGAAAAGACAAGGGAGAGGGAGAGUGCCUGACUUUAGGAUUAGAAGGAUAGAUAGGAGGUGUAAAAGGAAGGCUUCUACACAGCCUUAUUUAUACGAACUUUCAAGUUCUUUGCUUUAUUGCCUGUCUUCCAAAUAAUUUGUACUAUAAUUAAUCUGAUUUGGUACAGUAUUUAUACCAAUGCAUACCCAGCACACAGAGAGUUGAGCUGCAUCCUGGAGCACUGGCACAAGCAGCAACGCACCAGAACUGUCAACAUCUGUCUCUGGAUUAAACAGCAAGGAAGGUGAGAAGAAAUCUUUCCUAUCAGCAGCAGCAGGGGUUGCUGCAGGAAGAUGAUAAUUCCCUCCUGCUACUCUGCUGACAACAACCAAGCUUCACAAGGAGGAGCAAGGCAUUUUAAUUAUGGAAUUGAAAACCACCGCCGUUUCUAAAGCUUCACCUCUACUUGGUUGAUUACAUUAAUUUAGGAUGAACUGGCUUACAGUGGAAUUAUGUAUUGAAGAUAAGGGAAGAAGAAAUCAGUGUAAUAUCUAGUUUGUCUGUGCAUAAGAGUCAGUGUGUCUAUGUAUAUAAAUACUUUUGGAGCAUCCUGGAUAAGCAGGGGCUGCUGAAUUCCUCAAAAGCACAGUGCAAACUUGAGGGCUCCCUAAUUGCACAGGAAGUGUUUUCUAAAUGCUGUACUUGAAGGUACACAGGAUUAAAUGGAAAAGGUGAAAAAUAUUAACAACUGGCCAGUCAGGGUCCAAUCCAAUGCCUGCUGAAGUCAUCAGAAAACCUGUGGCAGAAGCCUAGAGGUUUUGGCUGCGGCUCUGUCAUCAGGUUAUCAUUAUAACAAAGGCAGCCCAUAACAGACUGCUAAAAUAAAUGCAAAUUUUGUGUCAAAGACAGUCAGGCACCCCCAAAAUUAACAAUUUGAGCACACAGCAGCUUACAGGCAGCAGCUUUGGGCAUGUGGCACAACAUCUGUUACAAAAACACUAGAAAGCAGACCUGCGGCAAAUUGGACCACUGCCAGCUCUCAAGAUCUCCCCCCCCGCCAAGGCUGUCAAGUAAAUGGACAGAUGGCAGCCAACGCACUCACAGGAUAGUUAGCUCGGUUAACAAUCAAGUAUGCUAAGUGAUUUCAGAUCCACUCUGCACCAGGCACUGUAUUUUCUAUUGAAUCAUUAACACUAUGUCCUAAUAGGACUAUAGUUUGGUAUUAAGAAACUGGCAGAUACUGUAUUUUGCAAGACAGUUUCUCUGGAACAAUUUGUCAGGGAACAUCAGAUCUGCCUUCAUGAAUAAAGUCAGAAUCUGCCAAGUUUACUGGGCUACUCUGUUCAUAAUUUUAAUUCUACAGUAUUUGAAGAACAGGGUUGGAAGCAAGCAUUAAAAAUGCAGGUCAGUUAACAGCACAAGCUGCUCCCACAGAUGCAUUCAGCUGAAAGAGCAGAGUAGAUGUUAACAGCACACAGGAUAUCUUAUCACAGCGGCUCUUCUGGCUGCCUGGUGUGGUACAUCACACCGAGCUCUCCUGGACAGGAGCCUAUGGUGAGUCUAUGAACAUUACACAGAUCUUCUGUUAGCUUUCUCUUUCUAUUAUGACACUGGUUUUCUUCAGAGAUGUUUAUAGGGCAUCCCUAUAGUUAUACUACGAAAAUUGGCAGUAGCAGCCAAGAACUCAUACGCCCUGCUUUUCCAUUUCAGACACAGGAAGGUGUUAAAAAUGUUUCGGGUGACAGGCCCAAGAACUCUGCCAUGGCAUUGAACUCCUUAGCUGCAUGCUCUGUGGGGCUUUCCUCUCUCUUGAAAAGGACAACUGAAUGAUGCAACUACUCUCGUGUGUGAUCACCAGAGCAGGGAAGCCAGAGAUACAAUUUAAACCAAAAACCAAAAGUGCAAACCUGUCAAAAACGGAGACAGGGAAACAACCGCUUUUUCUGGCUCAACUUUAUGAAAAUCUGAUUAGACCUUAGUGAAAGUUAAUCUUUGCCUUCCAGACCUUGGUAAAAAAAAAAAAAAAAAGAAAAAAAAAAAAGAAAAAAUGUUUUGAUGUCAUAGGAUCAAGAGGAGAGACACCAUUCAACUGUAGGAAAAUAGAUGCAAAGCAAUUUGUUUCCUUGGCACCAAUCACCUGGUAAAUGUGGCAAAAUGCCAUGAAAAAGUUCUGCUUCAAAGUUACUCAUUGGAAAUUAGCAAAGCCCAAGUUCCAGUCUUGUUUUUUACUCACAGGGUCCACACUUGCCUCUUAUCUGUCUCCUUCUAAUAUCUGUCCUAUGCCAUCUCAUGAGAAAAUCACAAAAGAGAGUUUUUUGGCUUUCCUCAAAAUGUUUUACUGUCAUGGACAGAUAACACAUGGUAUCAUUAGUCCAGAAAGAGGCAACUAUAGAGUGCUACUUUCUGGGUGUGAUUAGGCAUUCACAGAUCAACAGAAAGCUUUCGCUGGGGAGAAAGGGAAGGGCUUUUUGUCAGGUUUUUUCCCCAUCUGUCAGCUCAGCAGCAGUGAUGGUACCAAAUGAAGUCUUUCUGCUCAUUCAGCAUCUGUAGUCUAAUAUUUGCCAAGAGUUUGAUCUUGACCUUUUGGUUUGUGCCUACAGUACCCAGGAUUCCCAGGUGGUCUCACAGCCAAACAUGAGUUUAGUUCAGGAUUGCUGAGCUUGCAGAAUCAGACCACCAUAGACUAUGUUUUGUUGCUACAGUGUUUAGUAGCAAAAUCUAGAAUGCUCAUAUGUCUUAGAUUCUUCCUUUACUCUGCUUACAGUCCAAUAAGAUUGUAUUUUGAUGCUUUGAGGAAAUAAAUCAAGCAAUUCUUAUCAAAACACAGCAAUCUGGGAAAUUAAAAAUGCAAAGAAAAACCACAGAUGAACAGGUGGUAAAAUUGUGUUUAUCUUUUUUUUUUUUUGUCUAGUUAUCUAAUAUUCCAGCCAUCCCAAACUACUUCAUUUUUACCUUACAUAAUGCUGGACAAAGUGAAACAUCCAGAAAACACCAUAAGAAAUACAAUUUUAAGGCCAAUCCUAAUUAUGGAUGUGCAGGUCUAAAAUAAUUGUAGACAAUAUGCACACAUUAAGGUCAAAAACUAAAGAACGAUAUAUAUAUCUAGGAGUUCAAUUUUUACGUGCAUUCUUUCUGCCAUACCCUUAUUGUUGCCUGUAAAGUCCUCCACUUAUUAAUUCCAUGAUUCAUACAAUCACGCAACAAAAGCAUUAUGUUUAUGUUACAUAUGGUUGUGUAGCAGAAUGUCUGUAGAAUAAAGUACACUGAUUUAAAUCAUAUUUUAAUCAUGCAAUUAAAGAUUCAACAAUAAUAUUGCAAUUACAAUACUUGUAAAAUGCAUCUAUGUGGAAAGCUAGAAAGUUGGAAUGAACAUGACAGCCUGAUCCCUUGUUGUACAGGUGUACAAUAAUUCUUAAUCUGUUCUCGCCUGGGCAGGUAAGAGGUUGUGUCCUAUUCAAGAUUAAUUAAAAGGAACACUUGUUUCUUCUGAAUGAUGUCAUGUCUAGUAACAUACAUAAAUUUAAUUCACAUCAGUAUUGGC